AUUGAACGCUAGCGGGAUGCUUUACACAUGCCAGUCGAACGAGUGGCGGACGGGUGAGUAAUAUAUCGGAACGUGCCCAGUACCGGGGGAUAACUACUCGAAAUAGUGGCUAAUACCGCAUCCUCUUUGAGCGGCCGAUAUCGGAGUGGCUAGUUGGUGGGGGAAAGGCUCACCAAGGCAACGAACCGUAGCUGGGUUGAGAGGACGAACAGCCAGACUGGGACUGAGACACGGCCCAGACUCCUACGGGAGGCAGCAGUGGGGAAUUUUGGACAAUGGGGGAAACCCUGAUCCAGCCAUCCCGCGUGUAUGAGAAGGCCUUCGGGUUGUAAAGUACUUUUGGCAGAGAAGCGGUAUCUGCAGAAUAAGCACCGGCUAACUACGUGCCAGCAGCCGCGGUAAUUC
rnacentral:rRNA from 1 species